rnacentral:lncRNA from 1 species
ACAUCGGUGAAUCAUGCCUUGCGGGGCAUGCAAGAGGGUUUGACCCCAAAACCGGGGGUGAGUCACACCUAUAGGGUGUGUAAGAGGGUUGACCGGUUUGACCUCAAAACCAGGGAUGAGUCACACCUACAGGGUGUGCAAGAAGGUUUGAUCAUUUUAGCCUCCAAACCGGGGGGCGAGUCCAGCGCAACUGGACAGCGUCGAAUCGGAGGAUGCAUGGCACCAUCGUGAAGCUUGCGUCGAGAUGAAGCGAAGUCGUGAAGGCGCUGGGUCCGUUCGAUGUACCGAUAAAAAGUUGGACAAUUUUACCCCUAUGGGGUACCUAGGGUAUUUGAGUUGUACGCUUCAUAUAAGGGUAUUCUGGUCAUUUUUUGGAUGCCUAUGUAUAUGAGGAGUGGCUGUUGAGGCAGUCACAUCUCUGGGACUGUUUGGUGGUGGGCUUCUCAUUUUGUUGGUGAGCGCCUUUAGUAGGGAAGAGAGGGAGAGAGAUGAAAGAAUCUUU